rnacentral:lncRNA from 1 species
UACUACCCUAUUCUCGAACCCUCUGCCGAGCUCUACCCUGCCCGCAUUUAUUUGGAAGGGGGCCAAAGAAAUGUCUCCACCUGCUGCCAACAGUCUUUCUUCGGAAUUCUACUGAACGGGUCCCCCCCGUUUGUUUUAGCAACUUAUCCUAAGGUCUCUUCGCCAAGAACUCUCCGGCAACGACAGAGGAACUAACCUGCCUGCUGUGGCGGGGCGGCUUUUAUUUAAACAAUAAGACCUGGACGAUUAUCCCU